UCUAUUUCAGCUGGGGCAAAAACUACGGGAUUUUUUCAUUAGGGUGUCACCUAAGUCCCUGGGCUGGGAAGGCAACUCUUUGGCUUGGUAUGUCCCUAAUCCUACCUCCCUUCUUUGAUGCAUUUAUGCUGUGGAUCUCCUAAGGUCCUCUCAUCCUUUGGGGUUACAUUAUUUUUCUGGCUUUUCCUUGGGGCCUGAAGCUUAUGGACACAGGGCUUCUGCUGACCCAGCUAUUCCAGAGCUGGAGAUGCUUUGGCCUUAACUAUUUCCCUCCAUGAAAGAAUUCCAAUUCAUUUCCAUCAUCAUAUUCCUAAAGUGGAAACUCAACUUAGAGAAGAUACAUACCAUCCUUCUUUGGAGCUUCUGGACAGUAGAGCUGAGGAAAGAGUGUCUACCUGAAUCCACAUAUCUGGUUAUAGGAUCUCCCCAGAGAAGGAACCUGAUAGAAACAAACAAACAAACAAACAAACAAAAACCUGCGCUGGAAGUUACAGAAUGAGAAGGAUCUAAUUCACCUUGACACAGAGCAGCUGCUUGAUAUCCAAC